rnacentral:rRNA from 1 species
UACGGAGGGUGCGAGCGUUGUCCGGAAUCAUUGGGCGUAAAGGGCGCGUAGGCGGCCGAUCAAGUCAGAUGUGAAAGUCCUGGGCUUAACCUGGGGACUGCAUUUGAUACUGAUUGGCUUGAAUUCGGGAGAGGAUAGCGGAAUUCCCAGUGUAGAGGUGAAAUUCGUAGAUAUUGGGAAGAACACCGGUGGCGAAGGCGGCUAUCUGGACCGACAUUGACGCUGAGGCGCGAAAGCGUGGGGAGCAAACAGG